GUCUGGAACCUUGCUGAGAGGCGAGGUGCCUCGGGAGCCAAGACACAGGUGCUGCAUGGCUGUCGUCAGCUCGUGUCGUGAGAUGUUGGGUUAAGUCCCGCAACGAGCGCAACCCUUGUCAUUAGUUGCCAUCAUUUAGUUGGGCACUCUAGCCAGACUGCCGGUGAUAAAUCGGAGGAAGGUGGGGACGACGUCAAAUCAUCAUGCCCUUUAUGUCCUGGGCUACACACGUACUACAAUGGCCGUUACAACGGGAAGCGAAGGAGCAAUCCGGAGCAAAUCCCUUAAAGGCGGUCCCAGUUCAGAUUGUGGGCUGAAACUCGCCCACAUGAAGGCGGAAUUGCUAGUAAUUGCAGAUCAGCAUGCUGCAGUGAAUACGUUCCCGGGCCUU
rnacentral:rRNA from 1 species